rnacentral:rRNA from 1 species
UACGGGGGGGGCAAGCGUUGUUCGGAAUUACUGGGCGUAAAGGGCGCGUAGGCGGCUCUUCAAGUCAGCCGUGAAAUCUCGAGGCUCAACUUCGAGCUGUCGGUGGAAACUAUCUGGCUAGAGUCCGGAAGAGGAGAAUGGAAUUCCUGGUGUAGCGGUGAAAUGCGCAGAUAUCAGGAAGAACACCCGUGGCGAAGGCGGUUCUCUGGGACGGUACUGACGCUGAGACGCGAAAGCGUGGGGAGCGAACAGG